AUACUUAACUGGCAGGGGAGAUACCAUAAUCACAAAGGUGGUUUUCCAGGGCGAGGCUUGUCCACUGCACUCUGGAUGUGCUGCCCCCUGCAGGUUUUCCCAUGUAGGAACCUUGACUGUGUAAUCUGUGCCAGUGGUGGUUUGUGUUCACACUUUCCCCAG